rnacentral:rRNA from 1 species
UACAGAGGGGGCAAGCGUUGUUCGGAAUUACUGGGCGUAAAGGGCGCGUAGGCGGCCUGUUAAGUCGGACGUGAAAUCCCCGGGCUCAACCCGGGAACUGCAUCCGAUACUGGCAGGCUCGAAUCCGGGAGAGGGAUGUGGAAUUCCAGGUGUAGCGGUGAAAUGCGUAGAUAUCUGGAGGAACACCGGUGGCGAAGGCGGCAUCCUGGACCGGCAUUGACGCUGAGGCGCGAAAGCCAGGGGAGCAAACGGG